rnacentral:rRNA from 1 species
UAAACAUUUCAAAAGCUUUGCUUUUGAAGAUGACGAGCGGCGGACGGGUGAGUAAUGCCUGGGAAUUUGCCCAUUUGUGGGGGAUAACAGUUGGAAACGACUGCUAAUACCGCAUACGCCCUACGGGGGAAAGCAGGGGACCUUCGGGCCUUGCGCUGAUGGAUAAGCCCAGGUGGGAUUAGCUAGUAGGUGAGGUAAAGGCUCACCUAGGCGACGAUCCCUAGCUGGUCUGAGAGGAUGAUCAGCCACACUGGGACUGAGACACGGCCCAGACUCCUACGGGAGGCAGCAGUGGGGAAUAUUGCACAAUGGGGGAAACCCUGAUGCAGCCAUGCCGCGUGUGUGAAGAAGGCCUUCGGGUUGUAAAGCACUUUCAGCGAGGAGGAAAGGGUGUAAGUUAAUACCUUACAUCUGUGACGUUACUCGCAGAAGAAGCACCGGCUAACUCCGUGCCAGCAGCCGCGGUAAUACGGAGGGUGCGAGCGUUAAUCGGAAUUACUGGGCGUAAAGCGUGCGCAGGCGGUUUGUUAAGCGAGAUGUGAAAGCCCCGGGCUCAACCUGGGAACCGCAUUUCGAACUGGCAAACUAGAGUCUUGUAGAGGGGGGUAGAAUUCCAGGUGUAGCGGUGAAAUGCGUAGAGAUCUGGAGGAAUACCGGUGGCGAAGGCGGCCCCCUGGACAAAGACUGACGCUCAGGCACGAAAGCGUGGGGAGCAAACAGGAUUAGAUACCCUGGUAGUCCACGCCGUAAACGAUGUCUACUCGGAGUUUGGUGUCUUGAACACUGGGCUCUCAAGCUAACGCAUUAAGUAGACCGCCUGGGGAGUACGGCCGCAAGGUUAAAACUCAAUGAAUUGACGGGGCCCGCACAAGCGGUGGAGCAUGUGGUUUAAUUCGAUGCAACGCGAGACCUUACCUACUCUUGACAUCCAGAGACUUUCAGAGAUGGAUUGUGCUUCGGGACUCUGAGACAGUGCUGCAUGCUGUCGUCAGCUCGUGUGUGAAUGUGGUAGUCCCGCACGAGCGCACCCUAUCUACUGCAGCGGUCAUGCGACUUAGGAACUGCGUGAUACCGGAGAAGGUGGGACGACUCAGUCAUCAUGCUUACAGUAGGCUACACUGCUCAAUGUCAGUACAAGGUGCAGCCAGGGACUAUCCUAACUGACUGAAUUCCGAAUUGAAUCGCACCUGACUCCUUGAUCCGAUC